CAAUUGAAAUGCCAUUAUUUAGAAAAGAUUUCAGGAUUAUCCAAAUUAAUAAUCGAAUAUGCGAAUGUUGGAACUAGCUGCAUUACUAAACGUUUUUACACUGCCAAAUAUGCCUGUCUUAUGCACUUCUUUUUCUCGGCAUGGUCCGCAGGAACAAGGUUAUAUACCACUCUGAGUUCGCACCUCAAUUUACCCUCUCGGACCCUACACAUAUUGGCGGUUUCAUUUUGAUAUAAAUGCGAUUAGAUGGCUCCAUGGUUCCAGGGGCGGGACUUGGGUGUUAGAGGUAUUGCUACGGUGUCUCUACAACAGAGCAAUGCAGCAAUAUCAACAUGAGUAGUUCUAACUGGAGAGAUGGUUUAAUCCGCCAGCUACUGAUCAUGUGAGAGAAGUUUAUGCAGUCACAUUUAACGAAGACGGGGAAAGAUGGUGCGAAUUAAGAGAGGAACAGGAAGGCCGAGGGAAUUUCCUCAUGAGGCUU